AGCGUUUCUCGGCCUUUUGGCUGAGGUCAAGUAUAUUAUCUGUUCUUAUCAGUUUAAUAUCUGAUACGUCCUCUAUUGGAGGACAGUAUAUUAAAUUUAUUUUUGCAGCUAGGAGAUGGACUGGGCGCUUGCAUGUCCUCUCCACCGCAUUGCCCAGAUACUGCGGUACUUGCAGGAACAGUUCUGCCCCA
ensembl:snRNA U2 U2 spliceosomal RNA